AUAUCCCCAGCAACUUUAAAUAAAUUCUGUAGGUAUAUCUAGAAGGAACCCCAGUUUCUGGAGAGGUUCAUGAAAUGUAUCUGGCUGUUUUUCUGUAGUGUUUAAAACCCUAGUUUUAGAUCAACAACAGCUACUACAUUGUACUUAUUAUGAUAAAAUAUUUUUAAAAAUCAACUGUAUCUCUUUCUUUCAAAGGGCAUUCUCAGGGAACACCCACCUCCAAAAAGUCAGCCAAAAAAAAAAAAGGAAGAGGUGCUAACUGUCUCUUUUCCUUCCCAUUUCUCAAGCUUCCAGCCACAGUUAGCAUUUCCGCCCCAGUGGUCACACUUACACCUACGAAUGUUACCAAGGCUAUGAUCAAUUUGCAGGCUUUCUUGGGGAAGCCCUCUUAUAAUUCCUCCCACCCCUUGAAAACCAAUUCUGCCUGUGAAUCUAGAGGGACGUAGGAAGUCAACGGUCUGAAGCAAUUUUAACUUCUUUAUUUCUUCUUUCCUGGCGAUAGUCUUUCUGAAGGAUGAACAAAUUUCCCUGGUGAUGAAAUUACUACAAAAGCUUUUCUGUUUUAGCUUAUGAUGAGUCUCUGCUUGAUUAGUCCUGGGCCAAAAAGACCAAAAUCCCAGAGGCAAUUGAGUACCUGCGCUGGCUCUCAACAGGAACCUUACAUUCAAGAGUAUAAAUAAUGAGGAUGUGCGCAUCUGUCAGAGGAAGGGAAUCGGGAAGAGGAAAGGUAAAGAUUACCAAGAGUGGUUUACCCUGGGAGAAAAUGUGGAUGUGAAGUACCACUGCCCAUGGCACUUCCGUCGCCAGUCCAUCCAUGUUGUGGGAAAUCUCCAGCAAGAUUCCAAUGGACCCAGGGCCUGGGAUAUAGCUUAGUGGCACAAGUGCCUGCCUGGCAAAUGCAAGGUCCUGAGUUCAAUUCC